GGUCCAUUUUCUGAUACGGAGAGAACAAACUGUAAUCUGUAAUAAUAAAUAGCUCUAAACCAACACCAAUAACAGUAAACUCAGGUGUAACUCAAUAAACAGUCUUAGGUCCACUACUACUUCUAAUUUACAUAAACGAAUUAUCAAAUUGCAUAAGUUCAGGAACAAACCUUCACUGUUUUCAGGACCUUUGGUAGGUCAAAAACAGGUGAGAGAUAUACAGAAAAGAUCAGUAAUCGGAGGUGCAACACUUGGCACAAGUUUAGCUGUUUGCCCAGGGUGAAGAAGGCGUGACUAAAAUACUAAAGUUAGUUGAAGCAGAGCUGGCAAAGUUAAAGAUAAAGUAUGCUGUAAGUUAUUUGACUAAUUUCAUGAGAAGCAACAAACAACUGAAAUAAAUCAGCCAAAUGUUCCUCAUUCUUCGAGGACUCCCUUUUGAUUACCCGAGGCACUCACUUGGAUGGCUGCCUGGUGGUGCGGUUUGCGCGCUGGACUGUAGUUCGGAUUUAUCGACGGUCGAGGGUUCAAACCCUGCCUGCUCCCAUCCCCCGUCGUCUUGCGGGAGGUUUGGACUAGAAAGUAAACUAUCUUCAACUCUGAAGGAACAUCCGAAACAUGUCAAACAAAACAAAACAAGCCUGUCAUUUUGUUUAAGACUAAUGCAAGGCCUUGGAAAUUGUUUUUAAGGAGGAAGAAAACACAUGUCAUUUUGAUAUUACUAAAAAUAGUAAUGCAUCGCACCAUUGAACUCCUAUGUUAGCUUGUUGGGUUUUUUUUUGGUUAGUUAAAUAUAUUUAAAUGUUUGACAUAAUGUUGGUAAUAUUUUCUAAAUGUUCAUAUUAUCUCUGGUUAUAUUCUUCUUCUAAAUCUGUUUUCUCAUUCAAAAUUGUAUACUUGCAUAUUUAUAUUUGCUUGUAUAUUUAAUGAAAAUUAAAAUGCUAA